UCGUCAUAUGUCAAUUGCGCGUCGUUUGUCAUUUAUCAAAACCUACAAAUAUGAACACACGUUUAGUUUAGUGUCUUGAGAACGUGUUUCAACAUGAUGCACAACUAUAUUCAAGAUCAUAUCAAGAAUCCUCACAACAAAACUGAAAAUGGUGGAAGACUCAAUUGUAGGAGAAUCCCAGUCAGCUUUUAUCGAAGGAAGGAACAUACUGGAUAAUGUGAUCAUAGCACAUGAGAUGGUAAAAGGAUAUAAAGGGAGUGUCACCAAGAUGUUGUAUUAAAAAUAGAUAUAAGGAAAUCCUAUGAUACAGCCGAAUGGCCUUUUUUUAGAAUGAUAUUGAUAGAGUAUAUGAUGCAUGUGAAGUUUGUGGAAUUGACUAUGGUAUGCGUAUCUACUGUUAGUUAUUCUCUGAUCCUUAAUGGCGGGUUAACAAACAUAUUCCAAGGGAAGAAAGGGCUAAGGCAAGGAGACCCUAUGUCUCCUUACCUUUUUGUACUUGUAAUCCCGAACAGAGAUCUAAAGAAGUUAAAAGAUAACCCAGACUUCAACCACCAUCCAAGGCGUGCUAGGAAUAGUAUUACUCACAUUUACUUUGCAGAUGACUUAAUUCUUUGUUCAAGAGCAGAUGAGGUGUCUAUCAAACUGCUGCUUAAAAGUUUCAAUCACUUCUCAGAGGUAUCAGGUCUGAAGGCCAACCUGGAUAAAAGUGCUCUAUACGUUGCAGGAGUUACAAAGGAAUUCAAGGAGAUGAUACUAGAAGAAAUGCAGUUUACUUUAGGGGAAUUAUAAUUUCGAUAUCUUGGUGUUCCACUUUCUUCAAAAAAGUUAUCAGUGCAGCAGUGUAUGCCCUUGAUCGAAAAGAUAACGGCUAGGAUAAACUGCUGGACAACUAAGUGGUUAUCAUAUAGUGGAAGAAUCCAAUUACUGAAAACUAUGAUAUUUGAGAUGCAAACUUAUUGGGCACAAGUGUUCUUAUUGCCAAAGAAGAUACUCCAGAUGAUUGUUACGGUGUGUUGAACUUUUUUGUCGACAGGAAAAGUGAUCUCUCAAGGAGAGCAUUGGUAGCGUAGGACACAAUAUGUAUGCCAUUAUCGGCAAGAAGUUAAAUAUUCUGGACAUCUAUUCAUGGAACAAAGCUACAUAGUGCAAACUGGUAUGGGCCAUUAAUGCAAAGAAAAAUACACUAUGGAUUCAAUGGGUCCAUAGUUAUUAUGUCAAAGAGAAAGAUGUUAUGACAAUAGACACUCCUAAACAAGCAUGCUGGAUUGUGAAAAAAAUCUUUGAUACUAGGCAAUGGUUUCUAGAAAAGCACCCAGGAAAUGAGCUGGAGCAAUACCAAGGAAAUGACAAGUUUAACAUCAAAAAGCUAUACAUUGCAAUGAGACCUCAGUUCCAGAAGGUUUAGUGGAAGAAGAUUAAAACAUGAUCAAAAGCAAUACCAAAGCAUAGAUUUAUUCUUUGGUUAACACUUCACAGGAAAUUAGUCAUAUUGGACAUGCUAAGAAGAUGGGGCACUAUAAUUGACAAUGAAUGUGUAUUAUAUGAUACAAAUGAGGAAGCAUCAAUGGAGCAUUUAUGGUUUGGAUGUAGUUAUGCCAAAAUAAUAUGGUCUAAACUAUUACAUUGGCUGAAUGAAACCCAUCAAAUUGGUAAUUGGGACGAUGUGAUUAAAUGGCUGACAAGCAGAAAUCCAAGUAAAGCUCGUGGUAUCAUGUUUGGACAGAAAGGAAUAACAGAAGAUUCCAAGAAAAAGCAGUAGAAGGCAGACAAAAAAUCAAAGACAUAGUGCUGGAACUACACCUAGCUGGACAGAAUGAAAGGAAAUGACAAAAAGAAUUAGUCAGACUAAAGAAUUAUUCAAGGAUAGCAUAGAAAGAGCACACAGUAAUUGGAGGACAGAUAUGUAAACAGAAAGUGACAAUUGAAAGGGUUCAAAAAGCAUAAUAGAUAAACUUUAGUUUUAGAGUAAAAAAAGAACUAACAAAUGUAAAUAUUCUUGGUUAACUAACCCCCAAAAAAGAUGUAGCACUCUCAUAAGGCAAGAAACUCCUUUUUUCUUCUCCUUUUUUGGCUUUUCCCCUUAAUUUCCCCUGAAGGGGUGACAAUUUGCAGAAGUUAUGAGGAGAAAGAAGGAGAGGAUAUAAGCAAAAAUAAAUAAAUAAAUAAAGAAGGAGAGAAAUAUAUGGUAAAACGGGAAAGAGAAAGGAAUCAGGAAAGGGAGGAAAAAUAAAAUAGGAGAGAAGAUAGUUUUGCAGAAUCUCUUCGUCUUGAUUCCAU
rnacentral:lncRNA from 1 species